UACGUAGGGGGCGAGCGUUGUCCGGAUUUAUUGGGCGUAAAACGCUUGUAGGUGGCUACGUCAAGUCGGACGUGAAAUCUCCCGGCUUAACUGGGAGGGGUCGCUCGAUACUGGCGAGCUCGAGGCAGGUAGGGGGAAGCGGAAUUCCCGGUGUAGUGGUGGAAUGCGUAGAUAUCGGGAAGAACACCUAUGGCGAAGGCAGCUCUCUGGGACGGUACUGACGCUGAGACGCGAAAGCGUGGGGAGCGAACAGG
rnacentral:rRNA from 1 species